AUAUGAUCAGCCCCUUUAAGCAUGUACAAGAGGUGCCCUAGAAAUACAUGUCAGGUAGUUGGGGCGCCAACUCUUGGCACCCCACAAAGGGAUUUCUAGCCAAAUAAGAGAGGGUGUGGCCCCACCUCUCUCUCCUCCACACCAUAUCACAUAAGAGGGAGUGGGCCCCUCUAGGAUUUGGUAACCAAUUCUUGCCAAA
rnacentral:lncRNA from 1 species